rnacentral:rRNA from 1 species
CCUACGGGUGGCAGCAGUGGGGAAUCUUGCGCAAUGGGCGAAAGCCUGACGCAGCCAUGCCGCGUGAAUGAUGAAGGUCUUAGGAUUGUAAAAUUCUUUCACCGGGGACGAUAAUGAUGGUACCCGGAGAAGAAGCCCCGGCUAACUUCGUGCCAGCAGCCUCGGUAAUACGACGGGGGCUAGCGUUGCUUGGAAUUACUGGGCGUAAAGGGGGCGUAGGAGGACUGUUAAGUUAGAGGUGAAAGCCCAGGGCUCAACCUUGGAAUUGCCUUGGAUACUGGCAGUCUUGAGUCAGGAAGAGGUAUGUGGGACUCCGAGUGUAGAGGUGAAAUUCGUAGAUAUUCAGAAGAACACCAGUGGCGAAGGCGACAUACUGGUCCGUUACUGACGCUGAGGCUCGAAAGCGUGGGGAGCAAACAGGAUUAGAUACCCUUGUAGUC